GAGGAAUGUGACGAUGAAGAGUAUGAUUAUGCCAAUGGAAAGAGAGGCAUUACAAGCCAAUCAAAUAUCGCAAGAACCCUACCACUGUUACGAAUCUCAGAGAAAAGAUCCAACAGUAUGUUAGAAACAGACCUGAUCAGUUGAAGCCUGCUCCAGAAAAAUUGACACCUUACAGGGAUCCAGUAUUCACUCAAUGCUUUGAGCCUAUUGAUGAAGAACUUGAGAGACAGUUGAAAGAAGAAAGAGAAGCUGCUAAAAGACUGGCGGAGGAGAGAAAGCUGGAGUCUGAGGUUCAAUGCUACAAGAAGGUGAUCCCGUUCACUCUGCCCUGUAAGACCCAGCUGGAGUACCUGGAGUGUCUGGGAGCAAGCCCUUUGGCCCGGGUCAAGUACCUCGAGUACUCGAAACUGAUGAAGGAGGCCGAGUCCUAUAGGAGGCGGAUGCCCUGCGACUGGUCCUGUGAACAGCAGAGGGAGUACCUCGACUGCAU